GGCACUCCUUGCAGAACAAGUGACCAUCUGCACACUGGGUUAGCUCUUCAAAAGCAAACUCCCCAUAACAGCAGCGGCACUCAAUCAUCUGACCAUCCUUCUGAUAUUGUUCCUCAUUCAUCUGCAGAGCAAGGAGAAAGUCUGCAUGCUCUGCCAUCUCUUUAACUUUUUGCUCAUAGAAUUCCUGCUCCAGUAGCACUGGUGGGAGAAGCGAGAGCUUGUCAUAGGACCUCCAGUGCCGCCUCUUGUUCUCCAGGAAGAACAUCCGCU
rnacentral:lncRNA from 1 species